rnacentral:rRNA from 1 species
AAACCACGUUAAAGGAACUCGGCAAAAUGCCUCCGUAAGUUCGCGAGAAGGAGGCCCCAUAUGUACGCAAGUAUGUGUGGGGGGCACAAACUAGGGGGUGGCGACUGUUUACUUAAAACACAGGGCUGUGCGAAGCCGUAAGGCGACGUAUACAGUCUGACGCCUGCCCGGUGCUGGAAGAUUAAGAGGAGGGGUGCAAGCUCUGAAUUGAAGUCCCAGUAAACGGCGGCCGUAACGAUAACGGUCCUAAGGUAGCGAAAUUCCUUGUCGGGUAAGUUCCGACCUGCACGAAUGGCGUAACGAUCUCCCCGCUGUCUCUAACGUGGACUCAGCGAAAUUGAACUGUGUGUCAAGAUGCACACUACCCGCGGUUAGACGGAAAGACCCCAUGAACCUUUACUCCAGCUUUGCACUGGUAUCAGGAUUGUGAUGUGCAGGAUAGGUGGUAGGCAUUGAAGCGGGGACGCCAGUCUUCGUGGAGCCUCCCUUGAGAUGCCACCCUUCGCCAUCUUGAUAUCUAACCGCGGCCCGUUAUCCGGGUCCGGGACCCUGCAUGGUGGGGAGUUUGACUGGGGCGGUCGCCUCCCAAAACAGUAACGGAGGCGCGCGAUGGUUGGCUCAGACCGGUCGGAAAUCGGUCGUUGAGUGCAAUGGCAGAAGCCAGCCUGACUGCAAGACUGACAAGUCGAGCAGAGACGAAAGUCGGUCAUAGUGAUCCGGUGGUCCCAAGUGGGAGGGCCAUCGCUCAACGGAUAAAAGGUACUCUGGGGAUAACAGGCUGAUGAUGCCCAAGAGUCCAUAUCGACGGCAUCGUUUGGCACCUCGAUGUCGGCUCAUCUCAUCCUGGGGCUGGAGCAGGUCCCAAGGGUAUGGCUGUUCGCCAUUUAAAGAGGUACGUGAGCUGGGUUUAGAACGUCGUGAGACAGUUCGGUCCCUAUCUGCCGUGGGUGCAGGAGACUUGAGAAGAGUUGACCCUAGUACGAGAGGACCGGGUUGAACGAACCACUGGUGGACCAGUUAUCGUGCCAACGGUAGUGCUGGGUAGCUAUGUUCGGACAGGAUAACCGCUGAAGGCAUCUAAGCGGGAAGCCCCCUUCAAAACAAGGUCUCCCUUGAGGGCCGUGGAAGACGACCACGUCGAUAGGCCAGAGGUGUAAGUGCAGCAAUGCAUUCAGCUGACUGGUACUAAUUGCCCUAAAAAC